AAUACAAAAUGUAAUGCAAAAAAUCUGUUUAAAGUGGCAUUAUUAACAGAAAAACCACCUCAAAUGAAUUCAACAAUAUCUUGCCCUAUUCAAGGUAUAGCACUAAUAAGAUUAGUAAUAACUGUAGCACCUCAUAAUGACAUCUGUCCAUAAGGUAAAACAUAACCUAGGAAACCGAUAGCCAUCAUUAAUAUUAAUAUAACAGUACCAAUAGCUCAAACUAAAGUACGAGGAGCUCUAUAUGAUCCGUAAUAUAUACCUCUUCCUAUGUGUAAAUACACUAAGAAAAAGAAAGCAGAAGCUGUAUUACUAUGUAGAUAACGAACUAAUCACCCGUUAUUAACAUCUCUCAUUAUAUGCUCUAUUGAGUUAAAAGCUUCCAUUACACUAGGACUAUAAUGCAUAGCUAAUGUAAUACCGGUAAUAAUUUGUACUAUUAAACAAACAGCUAAUAAUGAACCAAAAUUUCACAAGUAACUAAUGUUACUUGGUUGUGACGCAUCGAUAAGGUAAGAAUUCACUAAUUUUAAUAAUGAAUGACUUUUUAAUAUUCUCAUUUAAAUUUAUAUUAUAAAAAUUGAAAAAAUUUUGUAAUUGUUAGUUAAACCAAUAGACAGCCAAAUAUUAACAAUAGUUGUUAUUUAUCAAAAAAAUGUUAAAAAGCGUAAGCUUUUUGUAGUUAAAAGUAGUAUUUCUGAUCUAGAAAAUUAUUUACUCAUCUCUUUUUAGAAUCGAACUAAAACCAAUGAAUUAGAAGAUCAUUGUUCUACCAUUAAACUAAAGAGAAUAAAAUUUGAUUAGAAUCAUUAAUUGCCAAUUAAUAAGAUAAAAUCCCCAAAUAUCACGUACUAUGUAAUAUUAUAUUUUAAUAAUUAUUAAUCUCACAGUAUAAUAAUAAUAAUAAAUAGAAAAAUUAUAAUUAAUGUUUAUCAAAUGAUAAUAUAUAAACCUGGUUAAGUCCAUACCAUUAAUAUAUUACUAUAUUUAUUAUAUAUUGUAUAUAUAUAUUCUUAACUCUUAAGUAUAUAUACUCAACCCUAAACCAAUAUGUAUUAUACGUGGGCGUAUCUCUCUUAACUCUUAAGGAUCAAUACAUAAUUCUAUCAUAACCUACAUUAAUAUAAUUAUAAUUUAAAUUCAUAAACUAUAACUAGGUUAAUUUAAACUAUCCACUGUUCAUUAAAAUGAAUACCCUCCUACCGUCCAUAUAUCCUCUCUAUCAAACACUUCAAAAGCUACCUAACAAAAAUAAAUAAUAUAAAAAUAUUUUUCUAUAUCAUCCACUACUAUAACAACAAUAUUUUGUUCUCUUCUACAUCUGUAGAUGUGUAAGCAUCUAGAUAUAAAAAAAAAUUAUAAUUAAAAAUUAAAAAAUAAAAUUAAUUAUAGGUUAAUAUAUUAUAUUCUUAUACAAUAAGAUACUAUAUUAAUUAUACCUUAUAAUAAUAAUAAUCUUAAUAUACAAUAAGAUAAUAUAUAUAUAUAUAAUAAUCCUAGUUAUAGUAAAUAUAUAGUAACUAUACUAUAUAUAGGUUAUCAUCUUUUAUUUUUAAUAGCUUCCCAUUAGCUACCCUUUGGUAGGUUUUUUGGUUUUCUGCCUCUAUAACUUUACUUAGAAACCUUACCUAUUCCAACAUACUCUGUAUGGUAAUUAACGUUCAAUUUAGGUAUAUAUAAUUUUUGUCUGCUGUCUAUUUUAAGAGCGCUUUUACCUAAUUCAAAUAUAAAUCCUAUAGUUAUUAUAGCUAUAAAAAUUAAAGUAACUAAAAGACCAUAAAUACCAUUAACAUACUCACUAAGAGCGAAAGGGAAAGUUAAUAAUAUUUCUAAAUCUAAAAGUAAAUAAACUAAAGCAAAAAUAAAGAAUUUUAUACCGAAUUGUGUUCUAUUUUGCCCUAAAAAACUAUGGAAACCACACUCGAAAAUACUAUAUUUUUCUUGAUAAGGAUUAUGAGGAGCAAAUAUAAAAUUAAUGGCUAAAAAUAAAAUAGCUAUAACAGAUACAAACCCUAUAAAUAAUGUCAUACUACUCAUUAAUAGCUAAAUAAAGAUUGUACCAAUAUAGUACCCAGACUUAAUCAUUCUUUAUUCAUAAACAUGAAUAAUAAAACUACUAAUGUAAUAGUAGAAAUAGUUAUUGCCACAGAACUAGACAUAACUACAUUUGUAUAAUUAAAUUCAACAUUUAAUAUUUUAUUGUUUCUAUUAAUAAUUUGACCAUUAAUAGUAUUAUUUUUAAUUUCUUCGUUUAAUUUAUAGUCAGGUGAAUAAAAGAACAUUUCUUUAAUUAUAUUUAAAUAAUAAACCCCUCCUAUAACACUAGUUAAUAUUGCAACUAAAGAUAAAAAGAUAUAACCUUGAUCAAUAGCCGCGCUUAAUACCAUCUGUUUAGCAAAGAACCCUACAAGAGGAGGAAUACCUGCAAAAGAGAAAAUAGUAAUAGCUAAACUUAAAGCUAAUAAAGGAUUUAUGAAAAAAUACCCUUUAAGUUGAUUUAUUAACUGUAUAGGUGAAUUAUUUUUAUCUAAUAACUCUUUAUGUUCUUUAGAAUUGUUAUAAUAAAAGUAUAAAGAAAAACCUAUAGUAACUAAUAUUAUAAAUGCAUUUAAAUUACUUAAAGAAUAUUGUAUUAGAUAAAACACAAAUGCUUGUGUAGAUUCUACUGUUGAUAUACUUAAAGCUAAUAGUAUAAAACCUACAUGUGAAAUAGUACUAUAAGCAAAUAAUCUUUUAAUUCUAAAUUGGCUUAGCCCUACAACAGUACCAAUUAUCAAUGAUAAUAAUGAACUAACUAAUAAACCACUAGUUCAGUUAAUAGAUUGUUGACUAAUAUUACUUGUAUAAUAAACAAUUUCUAAUAGGAAUAUAAAUAUAGAUAAUUUAGCUAUAAUAGCAACAAAUGUAGUAACUAUUGUUGGUAUUGAAUCAUAAACAUCAGGUGAUCAGAAGUGAAAUGGAGCAGCACUCACUUUAAAUAAAAAUCCUAUGCUAAAUACAACAAAGGCAAAAUUAAUAUAAAAAGGUUUAUAUCAUAUAUUAUUUGAUAUAUCACCUAUACUAUUUAGUAUAUAUAUACCAUCUAAGUUAGUUGUACCUGAAUUUAUAUAUAAUAAACUAGUACCUAAUAAAAUAAAACAUGAACUCAAUCCACCUAAUAAGAAAUAAAUUAAACCUCCUGUAGUAGAAAGUUCAGAAUUUCUAUAUAUAGUACUUAAUAAAUAUAACCCAUAACUUUGUAAUUCAAUAGCUAAAAAUAUAGAAAUUAAAUCAUUAGUAGAUAUUAAGAAUAUUGCCCCUGUAACUAUAAAUAGAAUAAUUAAAGGAUAUUCUAUUAUACUUAAAUGUUCUGCCAUUUUAUUAGAUAUUUUAGUUUUAUAAUAGUUAAAUCUAUAAAAAAAUAUAGUUAAUAUAGAAGAAUAUUCUUUAGCUCAAACUUUUCUAGGGUGAAAACUAGUUAAUUGUAAAAUAAUAAUAGUUAUGAUACAUAUUACAAUAUUAAAAAUUUUUGAAAAAUUAUUUACGAAUAAUAAACCUCCGUGUAUACCUAUACCCUUAUUAUCAAGAGAUAGUGUGAAAAACGACAAUAAUACACAGUACAUUAAUAUAAUUAUAGCUAUUCUAUUAAAAAGAAUAGCUAAAUCUCGCCUAAAGGUUACGGAAUUACUAAUCAAUAAUAAUAAAGUUGAAAAUAAGAGCAUAAAUAGUAGAAGGACUUGAACCUUCAAUGUAUGAGAUAAGCUCACUAUUUUACCUUUAAACUAUACUAUUUAGAUAUAUAUUAAUAUAGAGUUCAUAUAAUUGUGUAUUCUACUAAAAUAACUACAGAAAGCAAGGUUCCACUUAACCUCAUUAAUUAGCCUAGGCUCAAACAAUUAAGUUAGUUACCUAUAUAAUCGUAGCUUAAGCUACGGCUAUUAAUAAUUAAUCCGGGAAAAUUUCUAACUAAAUAUAAUUAACACUUGAAAAUGUGUGUGUGUGUGUGAUUGUGGGUGUGAACACACAAGAUGAAAUUUUAAUUUCAGUAUCAAGAGUACUAGGACUUGAACCCAGAUAAAUGAGGUUGAAGCUCAUCGUUUUACCAUUAAACUAUACUCUUUUGGCGCUUGCAAAAGCUACAAAAAAUAUAUUACAAUGUACUACACUAGAAAAAUAUUCUAUAAGUAUUCUAUGCAAUAGUAAAUAAAAAUAGAAGGUUAUGUAGGAAUCGAACCUAAAAAGGGAAGAUCUGCAAUCUUCUUGUAGACCAUCUACGUCAUAACCUUAAAAUAUAUAGAUAUACUAUACCAAAUUCGGAUUAUCGUGAAUCGAACACAACUGGUUCCCAACCCAAAUGAGAUGCCUAACCGCCCGGCCCUAAUCCGUAAUAAUGGGGCGUAAUAUAGUUAUAAAUAGGGGGGGUAAAUAAUAUACAGAGAAUAUCCGAUUCGAACGGAUGAGGCCUGAGAGACCCAAUAAAACUCAAACUUACCGCCUUAAACCACUCGGCCAAUUCUCUUUUUUACUCUUAAGGAGUAUAAUUCUUCCAAGACUUGAACUUGAAUGACAUUCUUAUCAAAAAUGCAUUUUACCACUUAAAUUAAAGAAUUUAAGAAAUAAGUGAUUUGAACACUCAACCUUCCGUGUGUAAAACGGUUGCUCUACCGUUGAGCUAAUUUCUUUAUAAUCUAAAAAAUAAAACUAAAAAAAAAAAUAAGGUAAAUAUACCUUAAAAUCUUAAUUAUUUUUUAAUAGUAAUAACUAUAGCACCUACCAUUGCUAAUAAUAAUAUAAAACUAGACAUUAUAAGUCAUAUAUUGUAAUUAGUAUACAUAAUAUUACCUAUACUUGUAAUAUGACUAAAUUCAACUAAAUUCCCAUCUCAAGAUGUACCAGUAACAUAAUAUAUUUUAUCUUGCUGUGUGCUUUGCGUGCUGCUAGAUACAUGAUUUAUACUUCUUAAUAUAAUAUUGUAUAUUUCAUAAGUAAAAUAAUACCCCAUAUUAGUAAUUUUAGUUGUAUAAGGUAAUACAUUAUAAAAAAUAGAGUUAACUAACAUUAUUACAAUAAUACCUAAUGAUAUACUAUCUAUAGGAUUGCUAUCUAGUUCACUAAUUCUAAUAUUUAAUAACAUUAAAAUGAAUAAAAAUAAGAUAGAUACUGCACCUAUAUAUACUAUUAAGUAAGAUAACCCAAUAAAAGUUAAACCAAUAAUAAUUAAAUAAGAAGAAAUACUACCAAAUAACCCAAUUAAAAAUAAGACAGAAACAAUAGGAUUUUUACUAACAAUAACCGAUAUAGCACAAAAAACAGCAAAUAUAGAUAUUAAAGUAAAAAUAUCAACACUAUAACCGUUGGUCAUAAUUUCCUGUGUAAAAUAUAAACUAAACAUAAUUUAAAAAAAAAAUAAAAUCUCCCCUAAUAAGGUCAAAUGAAUAUUUGGUUAAUCUACUAUUUUGUAGCUAGACAAAAAAAUUAGUAUAAUGUACCAAAAAGGGUAAGGCUAUAUGGGUCACUUAAACCUAUAAGCAAACGGAAAAGAGAGGAAUCGAACCUCCAGGUGCAAAACACAAUAUAUAGCAAAUAUCUUACCCUACCAAUGGAAACUUUUCCUCCUAUCGAACUAGACCGGAAUCGAACCGGCAUCUAUUUUCGUGACAAGAAAAUCCUUUACCAAUUAAGUUACUAGAUCUUGGGCAGGAUGCGAGAUGGGGAAAAAGUAUUAAAUGUUCAUUAAGUUACUUACUUAUAUAAGCGGAUAUAGGACUUGCACCUAUAUACUUUGGUCAUGAGUCAAAUAUGUUACUUAUUACAUUAAUCCACUCUAAUUCAAUAUAAAUAAAAAAUAAUAUAUAUAAAGAGAUAUAUACCACAUAAGCGUAUAUCAACUAUAUAUUCAGCUUUUUUAACUGAAAGCCCCACUAGCGGUAAAUAGCUAUCCUACUAUAAUAAUAUAAGGUUAUUAGCUUUAAUUAAUA
rnacentral:tRNA from 1 species